GAUGAACGCUGGCGGCGUGCUUAACACAUGCAAGUCGAACGAUGAAGCCCAGCUUGCUGGGUGGAUUAGUGGCGAACGGGUGAGUAACACGUGAGUAACCUGCCCUUAACUCUGGGAUAAGCCUGGGAAACUGGGUCUAAUACCGGAUAGGAGCGCCUACCGCAUGGUGGGUGUUGGAAAGAUUUAUCGGUUUUGGAUGGACUCGCGGCCUAUCAGCUUGUUGGUGAGGUAAUGGCUCACCAAGGCGACGACGGGUAGCCGGCCUGAGAGGGUGACCGGCCACACUGGGACUGAGACACGGCCCAGACUCCUACGGGAGGCAACAGUGGGGAAUAUUGCACAAUGGGCGAAAGCCUGAUGCAGCGACGCCGCGUGAGGGAUGACGGCCUUCGGGUUGUAAACCUCUUUCAGUAGGGAAGAAGCGAAAGUGACGGUACCUGCAGAAGAAGCACCGGCUAACUACGU
rnacentral:rRNA from 1 species